AAAAAUUCUGAGAUGACUUGAGGGUAGGAGCGAAAGACUAAUCAAACCCCGUGAUAGCUGGUUCUCCCCGAAAUCGCUUGAGGGCGAGCGUUGGGAAAGUAAACCGAGGAGGUAGAGCACUGGAUGGCUUAGGGUCCACACCAGGAUGCCAAAACCAAUCAAACUCCGAAUUCCUCGGGAUCCAUUACCCCAGCAUUCAGACGGUGGGGGAUAAGCUCCAUCGUCGAGAGGGCAACAGCCCAGACCGCCGGCUAAGGCGCCUAAAUGCCGCUAAGUGGAAAGGAUGUGACGUUACUUAGACAGUGAGGAUGUUGGCUUAGAGGCAGCCAUCAUUUAAACAGUGCGUAAUAGCUGACUCAUCGAGUGAUUCUGCGCCGAUAAUGAUUGGCGAUAAGCAAUAUACCGAAGCUCUGGAUGCUAGUUUACUAGCGUGGUAGGGGAGCGUUCCCACCGCAUCGAAGCAGUCGGGUAACCGUAUUGUGGAGUGGUGGGAAGUGAGGAUGCAGACAUGAGUAGCGAUAAGACAGGUGUAAUCCCUGUCCGCCGUAAACCCAAGGUUUCCUGGGGAAGGUUCGUCCUCCCAGGGUUAGUCGGGUCCUAAGUCGAGGCCGAUGGGCGUAGACGAUGGUAAGCAGGUUUAAUAUUCCUGCACCGCCGAAAUUUAAACCAGAAUGACGCGGGGUUAGAGAAGAGCGGGGUGAUGAAUGUCCCCGUCGCGCAAGCGGAUGCUAAGGCUUCGGCCAAGGUAGAUUCUUUAAAAACUCCGCCUAGAAAAGCUCUGGCGUAUACUAAGGCGCCCGUACCGUAAACCGACACAGGUGGGUGGGCAUAAGUGUGCCAAGGCGCGUGAGUGAAACCUCGUUAAGGAACUCGGCAAUCUAGCCCCGUAACUUCGGAAGAAGGGGUGCCCAGAAAUGGGUCGCAGUGAAAUGGGUCAACCGACUGUUUAACAAAAACACAGCACUCUGCAAAGUUUUAUGACGACGUAUAGGGUGUGACACGUGACCAAUGCGGAAAGAUUACGGUAAGAGGUUAGCCGCAAGGCGAAGCUUCGAGCUCAAGUCCCCGUGAAUGUCGGCCGUAACUAUAACGGUCCUAAGGUAGCGAAAUUCCUUGUCGGGUAAGUUCCGACCUGCACGAAUCGUGUAACGAGUUGACCGCUGUCUCAACGAGGAGCUCAGCGAAGUUGUAGUGGCGGUGAAGAUGCCGCCUACCCGCAGUAGGACGGAAAGACCCUAUGCACCUUUACUGUACGCUGUCAUUGUUGUUUCGAUUUUAUUGCUUAGAGUAAGUGGGAGGCUUUGACUCAUCUCUUUCGGGGGAUGAUGAGCCGCCAAUGAAACACCACCCUGUGAGAUUGGAACAUCUAACCUCGGCCCAUUAUCUGGGCGAGUGACACUGGCAGCCGGUCAGUUUGACUGGGGCGGUCUCCUCCUAAAGAGUAACGGAGGAGUACGAAGGUUGGCUCAACCUGGUUGAUAAUCAGGUGACGAGUAUAUGGAUAUAAGCCAGCUUAACUGCGAGACAUACAAGUCGAGCAGGUACGAAAGUAGGUCCAAGUGAUCCGGUGGUUUAAUGUGGAAUUGCCAUCGCUCAACGGACAAAAGGUACGCUAGGGAUAACAGGCUGAUC
rnacentral:rRNA from 1 species